UUAUUUUUAUAAACCUUAUAAGAUUACGCAAAUUAUUUUUACUAAAUUGUUAGAUGCGACAUGUCGUUACAUGUACAUUUUAGUUGAGAGGGUGCGUAGACAAUACAUGGGAGUUUUUGCCCAUCUUAUAUUUAAAACUAUGCGUAAAGUGAUGUAACUCAUUAGCAAUACAUAUUAGAGACCUGUGGUCUUUUGAUUUGAUGUCUUUGGUUUAUGACUAUGAAUUUGAGGUCAAGGUCAUCGGUUGAUUUGACGUUCUAGAUUUUGACAUUUGCUUUAAAUUCAUAUUGAUGCAUCUUAAAGCAAUCGGAACUGACAUUUUAAACUUAGUUUUGGUGUUUUCCUAUGAAAAUAUAUCCUUACU
rnacentral:lncRNA from 1 species